rnacentral:misc_RNA from 1 species
AAUAAUUAAAAUUUCUAAAUAAAAUUCUAAUCUUCUUAUUCUGCAUUAGAGUGGUUUUGAGCAAGUUGGUUAUUAGUAAUGAAAUAAUGGAGAGUUGAUGUGAGAUUUGAAUAAAUGGAGCAAAGAGGAAGAUUUAAUUGUUGCUGUUGAAGCUUUUGUAAUGCUUAAUGUCAAGAUUUAGUUGCUAAUUUGCUAUAUGAUAUUUAUUGAAAAUGCUCGUGCACUUUAUGGUGUCUUAAUGUAGAUAUUAUUUGACAGGUGGAACUGGCAUCAACCUUA